GGCUUUGGUGGUCUAGAGGUUAGAGCGUCCGCCUCGGAUGCGGGAGGUCGCAGGUUCCGAACCUCGACCGAGUCA